CGAAGGGGGCUAGCGUUGCUCGGAAUUACUGGGCGUAAAGGGAGCGUAGGCGGACAUUUAAGUCAGGGGUGGAAAUCCCGGGGGCUCAACCUCGGAAUUGCCUUUGAUACUGGGAUGUCUUGAGUAUGAGAGAGGUGUGUGGAACUCCGAGUGUAGAGGUGAAAUUCGUAGAUAUUCGGAAGAACACCAGUGGCGAAGGCGACACACUGGCUCAUUACUGACGCUGAGGCUCGAAAGACGUGGGGGAGCAAACAGGAUU
rnacentral:rRNA from 1 species